GUCGAGAAUCUUUCACAAUGGGGGCAACCCUGAUGGAGCGACGCCGCGUGGAGGAUAAGGUCUUCGGAUUGUAAACUCCUGUCAUGCGUGAACAAGGUUGCUUGGUUAAUACCUGGGCAAAUUGAUGGUAACGCAAGAGGAAGAGACGGCUAACUCUGUGCCAGCAGCCGCGGUAAUACAGAGGUCUCAAGCGUUGUUCGGAAUCACUGGGCGUAAAGGGUGCGUAGGUGGCGUGGUAAGUCAGAUGUGAAAGCCCGGGGCUCAACCUCGGAACUGCAUCCGAUACUGCCAUGCUAGAGUACUGGAGAGGUGACUAGAAUUCUCGGUGUAGCAGUGAAAUGCGUAGAUAUCGAGAGGAAUACCAAAGGCGUAGGCAGGUCACUGGACAGUUACUGACACUGAGGCACGAAGGCCAGGGGAGCGAACGGGAUUAGAAACCCGAGUAGUCC
rnacentral:rRNA from 1 species